rnacentral:miRNA from 1 species
CUGUUACUGUUUUUCUGAUGG